rnacentral:rRNA from 1 species
GGAAAUAGCUGGUUCUCUCCGAAAACUAUUUAGGUAGUGCCUCGUAUAUCAUUCUCGGGGGUAGAGCACUGUUAUGGCUAGGGGGACAUCCCGACUUACCAAACCAUUGCAAACUCCGAAUACCAAUAAGUAGAGCACGGGAGACACACUGCGGGUGCUAACGUCCGUAGUGGAGAGGGAAACAACCCAGACCAACAGCUAAGGUCCCAAAAUUAUGACUAAGUGGAAAACGAAGUGGGAAGGCCUAGACAUCCAGGAGGUUGGCUUAGAAGCAGCCACCCUUUAAAGAGUGCGUAAUAGCUCACUGGUCAAGUGAUUCCGCGCCGACAAUGUAGCGGGGCUCAAGUCAUCCGCCGAAGCUAUGGCAUUCAGC